AAAUGUCAUACACUUUCUCUUGACCCCUUAAUAAGGAUAAAAACAAGAAGAAAUGUAAAGACAGAGGCCUACUUCAUCAUGUUUAUACAUUCCCCACUGCAUACUAAGACCAUCAUAUUUUAUUCUUUUAUAUAUUUUUCAAAUUCUAUUAUGUUCUGUAAUAUCUGUAUAAUUAUUAGAUACUGAUUUUAAACAUCUCUGGUGAUUUGUAUUCGUUUAUCUAAAUUGAUGACAACGAUAAUGGGCACUGGCCAUGAUUGCAUUAUUGACAGAUCCUCUGUUUAGUCAGACAUGACUGAAGCGACUUAGCACAUGCACUCUCUUUAGAUCAAGGACUCCUGAUUGAACAGCCUGUUAUUGACACCAAGAGUACCAGGAACUUGCUCCCUGAUGUGCAUAAGAGCUGAGUUUCCAGAGCACCUAGAGCUGAGAGUUGGCUGGCUGGCUGGAACAGAACCCCUAAGAGGUUUCAGGAGGAAAAUGCCUGGCCCACUCUCUUAAUAAAUUUGACCUGUC
rnacentral:lncRNA from 1 species